AGCGUUGCGGCCCAGGCGGCCGUCUUAGUCUGCCCCGCAGGGCCGGUGGGGCACGAGCAGCGGGAACAUGGCUCUAAAACGGAUCCAGAAGGAACUGACUGAUUACAGAGGGAUCCCCCUGCUCAGUGUUCUGCGGGACCUGUGGGUGAUGACUCAGCUUCUAAGGAGCCCUGGAGUCCUAGUGAGUGCUUCUCCAAGCCCCACACUUGCAGUCGGUGUCAGAAGCAAGGCAGCCUUGUGUGGAGCCUGGCAGCACCCUUCCACCUUCCCCGAGGAGCCUUACAUGCCUGUCUGUCUUUUGUCUUGGAGUGUCCCACUGGCAGGCCGCCAUCAUGCGCCCGAAUGACAGUCCUUACCAAGGAGGGGUUUUUUCCCGACCAUCCACUUCCCUACAGAUUAUCCUUUCAAGCCCCCAAAGGUUGCUUUCACUACCAGAAUCUAUCACCCUAAUAUCAACAGCAAUGGCAGCAUUUGCCUGGACAUCCUGAGGUCACAGUGGUCCCCAGCACUGACUGUGUCUAAAGGUAGAGACACUGGCAUGGACUGAGCAUGCUGGUCUACUGGUCCCCCUUGCUGACUAGUGGACACGGAAGCUGAGGAAGAACAGAUGGCUUCCCCAGAUCACAUAGCCCUGCCCAGUCCUGUGACUCCCUCAUUCUCCAUGCUGUAAGGCGAUGAGGGCAUUGCGAAGCACAGUUCCCAUGCCAGUAAUUCUCAGCCAUCAGCUGUUCUGUGAUGCUCCGAACUGUCACCUGGGUACAAGAAGAUAGCAUCAACUUUACUUGCAUUUUCACCUAAAAGUCGGAAAGCAAAUAUGAAACUUUUUUUCAUCUGCAGACCAGCAGACUUUCUCCUGUCUAUCUGCUCUCUGCUCUGCGACCCCAACCCUGAUGACCCACUCGUGCCAGAAAUAGCCCACACUUACAAGGCCGACAGAGCGAAGUAUGCGCCCUCUUAGGGUUGGCUUUGUGUGCAGCUGCCCAGGUUCCCACGGACAUCUUCCUGCCCAAGCCAAGCCCAUGUAAAACAGACUAGCAAGAGAGUGGACACAGAAAUAUGCUAUGUAAGUGCCUCGAAGGCUCCAUGGAAGACCCUGUCCAAGAGAAGCUCGCCCCACAGAGUGACCUUCCUGUGAAGCUCUGAGCUCUUGGCUAAGGCACUCUCGGAACAUCCUGUGUUCACACAUGUGUUGGCACUCACCUCUGUGGCUGCAGCAUGUUGGUGCCACUUUUAGCCAUUGUGGCCUUGACAGUACCACACCUUUGAUACUAAAUCAGCAACCACUGUUAUGAUCUACAGUCUUCCUGGUUACACUAGAAUCUGUCUGGGGAAUCAAGCCAUGCAUGCCUCCUGUACUUGUCCUCAAAUGGUGCCACUACUCACUGUGACACUCUAGAGGGGCCCAGUCUGCCCCCUGACCACCUGCCCUUUGCCUUUAGAGCACAGUGAUUUCCUAGGGGCCCAGACAGAGUGGGCUCUCUUCAUACUUUGUCUGCCACAGAACCAUGUCCUAAGGAGUGCCACUAUGUCCUGGAGGCUCCUAGAAAUUGGAACAGCCUCCCCUGAAAGCCAUCUUCCGCCACGUUCCUCCAUAGUGCUCCAUGCUGCAAACAGCAAGCGAGGAGCAUUGGGGCAUUUAAAGCACAUAACACCCAAGGAAGAAUGGGAUUCUCAGACAAGGGGAGAUUCGGGUUAUGCUUGUGUAUGUAAUGAGGCUUCCUCUACCGUCUUCCCACUGGAAACUUAACGUGAAAUUCAAGCAUAAGCCAUUCACAAACUGGAACACAAGGAAGGAAUGGGACUUUAAAUGGUAAUAAAAAUGGUCAUUCCUUCAGAAGUG
rnacentral:lncRNA from 1 species